GGUCCGUUGGACUAGUGGUAAGAGCGUCCACCUGGGAUGCGGGAGGUCGUGGGUUCGAACCCCGUCCGAUUCA